CGUGUAGGUGGCUUGGCAAGUUGGGUGUGAAAGCCCGGGGCCCAACCCCGGAAUUGCACUCAAAACUGCCAGACUAGAGUCUCGGAGAGGAAGGCGGAAUUCCCGGUGUAGAGGUGAAAUUCGUAGAUAUCGGGAGGAACACCAGUGGCGAAGGCGGCCUUCUGGACGAUGACUGACACUGAGACGCGAAAGCGUGGGGAGCAAACAGGAUUAGAUACCCUGGUAGUCC
rnacentral:rRNA from 1 species